rnacentral:rRNA from 1 species
GCAAUAGGGAUGGUCUAGGCAUGCGAGUCAUUGUAGCAAUACAAGGCAGACGGCUCAGUAACGCGUAGUCAACCUAACCUAUGGACGGGAAUAAUCUCGGGAAACUGAGAAUAAUGCCCGAUAGAACACUAUAUCUGGAAUGGUUUGUGUUCCAAAUGAUUUAUCGCCAUAGGAUGGGGCUGCGGCCUAUCAGUUUGUUGGUGAGGUAAUGGCCCACCAAGACUAUUACAGGUACGGGCUCUGAGAGGAGUAGCCCGGAGAUGGGUACUGAGACACGGACCCAGGCCCUAUGGGGCGCAGCAGGCGAGAAAACUUUGCAAUGUGCGAAAGCACGACAAGGUUAAUCCGAGUGGUUUCUGCUAAAGGAACCUUUUGUCGGUCCUAGAAACACCGAUGAAUAAGGGGUGGGCAAGUUCUGGUGUCAGCCGCCGCGGUAAAACCAGCACCUCAAGUGGUCAGGAUGAUUAUUGGGCCUAAAGCAUCCGUAGCCGGCUCUGUAAGUUUUCGGUUAAAUCUGUACGCUUAACGUACAGGCUGCCGGGAAUACUGCAUAGCUAGGGAGUGGGAGAGGUAGACGGUACUCGGUAGGAAGGGGUAAAAUCCUUUGAUCUAUUGAUGACCACCUGUGGCGAAGGCGGUCUACCAGAACACGUCCGACGGUGAGGGAUGAAAGCUGGGGGAGCAAACCGGAUUACAUACCCGGCUAGUCCCAGCUGUAAACUAUGCAAACUCAGUGAUGCAUUGGCUUGUGGCCAAUGCAGUGCUGCACGGAAACCCGUUAAGUUUGCCGCCUGCGAAGUACGUACGCAAAUAUGAAACUUAGAGGAAUUGGCGGGGGAGCAGCACAAGGGGUGAUGCCUGCUGAUCCAAUUGGAGUCGAAGCCGGGAACUGUCAACCUGGCACCCUUGCAUGGUUGUCACUGUCCAUCGUUUUACAACGGCAUGAUUGUCAAAAACUCU